UCUUAUGGAUGAGCAAAGAAAGUAGUUUCUUUAAAUGGUAUCUACUCCUGAUGAAGAUCCUAUGAA
rnacentral:pre_miRNA from 4 species